rnacentral:rRNA from 1 species
CCUACGGGUGGCUGCAGUGGGGAAUUUUGGACAAUGGGGGCAACCCUGAUCCAGCCAUGCCGCGUGCGGGAAGAAGGCCUUCGGGUUGUAAACCGCUUUUGUCGGGGAAGAAAUCCUCUGGGCUAAUACCCCGGGGGGAUGACGGUACCCGGAGAAUAAGCACCGGCUAACUACGUGCCAGCAGCCGCGGUAAUACGUAGGGUGCAAGCGGUGCUCGGAAUUAGUGGGCGUGGCGCGUCAAGAAGCGGCUGAAAUCCCCGGGCUCAACCUGGGAACUGCAUUUGUGACUGCAUAGCUGGAGUGCGGCAGAGGGGGAUGGAAUUCCGCGUGUAGCAGUGAAAUGCGUAGAUAUGCGGAGGAACACCGAUGGCGAAGGCAAUCCCCUGGGCCUGCACUGACGCUCAUGCACGAAAGCGUGGGGAGCAAACAGGAUUAGAUACCCCAGUAGUC